rnacentral:rRNA from 1 species
CCUACGGGAGACAGCAGUGAGGAAUAUUGGUCAAUGGACGAGAGUCUGAACCAGCCAAGUAGCGUGAAGGAUGACUGCCCUAUGGGUUGUAAACUUCUUUUAUAAAGGAAUAAAACGAGGCACGUGUGCCUUUUUGCAUGUACUUUAUGAAUAAGGAUCGGCUAACUCCGUGCCAGCAGCCGCGGUAAUACGGAGGAUCCGAGCGUUAUCCGGAUUGAUUGGGUUGAAAGGGAGCGGAGAUGGGUUGGUAAGUCAGUUGUGAAAGUUUGCGGCUCAACCGUAAAAUUGCAAUUGAUACUGGCAGUCUUGAGUACAGUUGAGGUAGGCGGAAUUCGUGGUGUAGCGGUGAAAUGCUUAGAUAUCACGAAGAACCCCGAUUGCGAAGGCAGCUUACUAAACUGUGACUGACAUUGAUGCUCGAAAGUGUGGGUAUCAAACAGGAUUAGAUACCCGGGUAGUC